UUCCCAAGUCUUGGCCUUUUGGCUAAGAUCAAGUGUAGUAUCUGUUCUUAAUCAGUUUAAUAUCUGAUAUAUCUCUAUCCAAGGGUGGAAAGACUAUCAGCGUAAUGAUUGAAAAACUUAUAAAGAACGAAUCUUUUAUAAAAUAACCUUUCUUUCAAAUCCAUCUCUCAUAGAGUAUGAGCUCAC
ensembl:snRNA U2 U2 spliceosomal RNA